rnacentral:piRNA from 1 species
AAUAUUGAUCGGAUGUGUUCACUCAGCA